GUCACCGCGUACAGCAGCCCGGUGGCGGCCAGCAUGAACAGCAGGCUGACGACGCGAACGCCGGUGAGUCCGAAGUACGAGUCCACGGCGGCGGCG
rnacentral:tRNA from 1 species